UUCCUGGUAGCUCAGUUGGUAAAGGAUCUGCCUGCAAUGCAGGAGACCCGGGUACGAUUCCUGGGUUGGGAA
rfam:TPA: Bos taurus chromosome 28, whole genome shotgun sequence.